rnacentral:lncRNA from 1 species
AGUUUGGGUUUGUCUGAGGCUUCCUCAUGAUUAGAUUCAGGUGAUGCAUUCUGAGUGGGAAUACUGCUUAGGUGUUUCACAGAAGUUCUUAAAUAAGCAUCUCAUGGUAGUCACAGGGAAGUCAGGUGACUCAGACACAGGAAGUAGAUUAUGAUUUAAAAGCUCUUAAUAACAGUCGCUAACAUUUAUUGAGUGCUUGCUGUUUGACACGCCUCUCUGUGUUUGUUGAUUUGGGCACUAUUCUCUCCUUGUACCGGGUGCUUAUGUUGGAUCACAAUAAAACGAUAAUAGCAGUACAGGUGUUGAGCUUUAUUAGGCCCCAUAUUGUCCAUCUUCUUUUCAUGCACAAGGUCCAUUAAGUCUUACUACCACCCAAACACUACUAUUAUCUUCAUUUUACACAUGAGGAAACUAGCCUCAGAGAGGGUGUCGCUUGCACCAGCUCUCGGAGCUACCAAGCUGGGACUGUUUGCCACCAGAGUAUGAGCACUUAGUUGGUCCCCUAUACCAUUUCUUCUCUGGUAUGUAGCACUGACAAGGCCCUGCUAGUAUUCCAGCUCAGAACACUGAGAACAAUCCAUGUCCCACCCCCUAGACUCCCAGCAAGCUGGGAUGUUUUCUCUCCCAUAUUCUGAACUCCCCCACUUACCCCACACAUAAGGAGCAUGAGAACUUGGGAGAUACCCCAUGCUGAAUCCUACUGCAGGAUGACAUUUCUCCUCUACAGGCAGAGCCUGCUCCAAAGUCAGCCAAGAACCAGAUUUACGUGCAGGCCAGUGUCAUUCCUAAGACAUGACCUUAAGAAUUCAGCCCUGGAGAUUUGUUGCCACAAAUAGGUCUUCCAAAUCACCAUAUUUGGUUAAUCAUGAUCCAUGAGAAUCCUGAGCAACUUACUCUUUGAUGAGUACACUAUCCCUGAAGCUCUGAGAACAAUUCCAUGAAGCAUGUCGAAUGCAACUCUUGAAAUCUGAAUGAUGAGAUGGCCAACGUCUUAGAGGAAGAUGCUUCAGCCCAAGCCAGGGAGAUUGUCCCUAACUCUGGAUGGAUUCCAGCAGCCCUAACAGAGGCAGAUUUUACGAGGUAGUUACCAGUGGCCUCAGAGAUGUUCCUUUGCCACAUCUCUGAAGCUUUUUGUCCAUGACCCAUUCUUAAAAAACCAGGACCUGCCCAACUCAACCAGGUUCUGCCAGUCUGGAGGGUUUGGCAGGAGGGAGGCUGCCUUUGUGGUGGAGUUAAAUACCAAGAGAGUCCUGCUGGGCACUAGUCCCACCUAGGUCUGGAGCAAGAGGCAGACAAGGAAGCCUUCAUUCAGGGCAGCAGAAGAUACCACUCCUCACCCCCACCCCUCACACACUGCUCAGCACAUAAUAAGUGCUCAGUAAGAUUUUAUUAUAUGAAUGAAUAAACACUCUGAUGGAAGAAGUCCCUAGUGCA